UACGUAGGUGACCAGCGUUGUCCGGAUUUACUGGGCGUAAAGAGCGCGCAGGCGGUCGUUCAAGUCGAGUGUGAAAGCCCCCGGCUCAACUGGGGAGGGUCACUCGAUACUGAUCGACUUGAAGGCAGGAGAGGGAAGCGGAAUUCCCGGUGUAGUGGUGAAAUGCGUAGAUAUCGGGAGGAACACCUGUGGCGAAGGCGGCCAUCUGGACGUUCACUGACGCUGAGACGCGAAAGCGUGGGUAGCAAACAGG
rnacentral:rRNA from 1 species